rnacentral:rRNA from 2 species
GGACUACUCGGGUAUCUAAUCCUGUUUGAUCCCCGCACUUUCGAGCCUCAGCGUCAGUUACAGCUUCGUUAGCUGCCUUCGCAAUCGGUGUUCUAUGACAUCUCUAUGUAUUUCACCACUACAUGUCAUAUUCCGCCAACGGCAACUGUACUCAAGUCCUACAGUAUCAAUGGCAAUUUCGCAGUUAAGCUGCGAGAUUUCACCACUGACUUAUAAGACCGCCUACGCUCCCUUUAAACCCAAUGAAUCCGGAUAACGCUUGCAUCCUUCGUCUUACCGCGGCGGCUGGCAC